CCUGUGAUGGUGGUGAGACACUGGACCAGGCCUUCCAUAGAAGCUGUGAUUGCCCCAUCUUGGAAGUGUUUAAAGCUCAGCUGGAAGGGCCUUUGAGAAACUUUUCCUUGUGAAAGGUGUCCUUGUCCACGUGAGGGGGGUAGAACAAAAUUAUAUUUAAGGACCUUUAGAAUCAAAACUCGUUCUGUGAUUCACAGCUCAUUCCAGUUACUAUGAAGUGGGAGCAAAAUAUUUCAGAUGAAAGGGGCAGGGACUCAAUCACCAGCAAGGCUUUGGCAAGCAACAACUAAUGGGAGCUUAGAUGCUUCAUGAGCAAGGAAUGUUUGUGGCCCCACAGAGCACUAGGACACAGCAUAAAAGCCUGCGCUGCUCCAGGCUCUGCAUCCUCCUCUCUUGCCUCCCUUUCCUCCAGGAACGAGCUUUGCCCCCCUCACCGAGAGAUGUCUUGCUUCAGACCCUGUAUCCCAGCACCUUGUGGUUCCUCUGGCCCAACCCCACUUGCAAGCAGCUGCAGUGAGCCCUGUGUGGCCCGCUGUGGUGACUCGACGGUGGCCAUCGAGGCCGCCCCAGUGGUGGUGACCCUGCCGGGCCCCAUCCUCACUUCUUUCCCUCAGAACACAGUUGUGGGAUCCUCUCUGUCAGCUGCCGUUGGGAGCUCCCUCAGCACUGGGGGGGUUCCCAUCUCUUCUGGGGGCUCCCUUGGUCUGGGGGGGUCAGGGCUGUGCCUGCCUCCACCCCGCUGCCGACUGAACUGCUGAACCUGGUGCAUCGUCCCUUCUGGAGCAGGAAGAAUGAUGGGGACUGCACAGCAGGAGUGUGGCCAGGCCUUGCAGAUGGGCUGGGUGUCCUCAUGCCAGCUGGCAGGAGGGACCUGUGCCCACGGCUCCUGGCUGCACGUCAGGCCUCGCUGUGCCUCCUCUGGCUCUGCUUUGCUCUGAGCUCCUUGAGAAAGGGCUCGUUCUCUUCUGCUUUGCUGAACCUCCUGGUGCUGGGGGAGGGUGCUGGAGUUAGGGACUGCUCUUGCUGGGCUGGGAUUGCCAGCAGGUGGAGCAGAAUGGGGAAAGGCAAGUGCUUGGUGUUUCAAGCUUGUCCUUGGGCAAUGGGCUGUUCUCUGUGUUGCCCUGAACCCUGCAGAUGUGUUUCUUGGUCUCUGUUCUGUGCCACUGCUUUUGCUCCUUCUCAUUAAAGACUUUGCGCAGCAUA